CCCAGGGCUUGCGCCCUGGGCUAGAAUUUGCAGCCCCUCCGGGGCU
rnacentral:sRNA from 1 species